CCCCAGAGGACUGUGUGCCGGGAAAUGUGGGGUUGCAUUCAGGAUGCCGGUGGGGGCUACAGUCAUCUGAAGGUUUGACUGGGGCUGGGAGCUGCUCUUGCAAGGAGGCUGCCUGGCAAGUUGCUGUGGCUGUUGGCAGGCGGCCCUGUGGCUCACCGUGUGGACCUCUGCGUGGGCUGCUUUAGUGUAUGUCCUCCCGGCAUGACCGCUGCCUUCUCCCAGGCCCUGACCCAGCUCUGAGAGUCGAGACAUGGAGAGAGCCUGCAAAUAUUCAGGAACCAGCAACAGCACUGGCCAGAGACGCUAGAGGAAUUGACAGAAAAUGGGGUCAGUAGUGGAG